rnacentral:miRNA from 1 species
UCGUCAAAGGGGUUGUGAAAUG